rnacentral:rRNA from 1 species
AGGCUUAACACAUGCAAGUCGAACGCAUCCUUCGGGGUGAGUGGCAGACGGGUGAGUAACGCGUGGGAAUCUACCCAUCUCUACGGGAUAGCUCCGGGAAACUGGAAUUAAUACCGUAUACGUCCUCCGGGAGAAAGAUUUAUCGGGGAUGGAUGAGCCCGCGUUGGAUUAGCUAGUUGGUGGGGUAAAAGCCUACCAAGGCGACGAUCCAUAGCUGGUCUAAGAGGAUGAUCAGCCACAUUGGGACUGAGACACGGCCCAAACUCCUACGGGAGGCAGCAGUGGGGAAUAUUGGACAAUGGGCGCAAGCCUGAUCCAGCCAUGCCGCGUGAGUGAUGAAGGCCCUAGGGUUGUAAAGCUCUUUCACCGGUGACGAUAAUGACGGUAACCGGAGAAGAAGCCCCCGGCUAACUUCGUGCCAGCAGCCGCGGUA